rnacentral:rRNA from 1 species
UACGAGGGGGGCGAGCGUUGUUCGGAAUUAUUGGGCGUAAAGGGUGCGUAGGCGGUUUUGUAAGUCUUAUGUGAAAUCUAUGGGCUCAACUCAUAGACUGCAUGAGAAACUGCAGGGCUUGAGUAUGGGAGAGGUGAGUGGAAUUCCUGGUGUAGCGGUGAAAUGCGUAGAUAUCGGGAGGAACACCAGUGGCGAAGGCGGUUGCCUGGGGCUUUGCUGACGCUGAUGCGCGAAAGCGUGGGGAGCGAUCCGG